rnacentral:ncRNA from 1 species
GAGAGCACAGUACGAUGAAAGUUGUAAGCUGUGUUCGGGGGGGAGUUAUUGUCUAUCGUUGGCCUUGGUUGGAAAGAAACGAAGUAUAUUGAUUUCUU